rnacentral:rRNA from 1 species
GACGAACCGUGCGAACGUUGUUCGGAAUCACUGGGCUUAAAGGGCGCGUAGGCGGACAUUCAAGUCAGGGGUGAAAUCCUCCGGCUCAACCGGAGAACUGCCUUUGAUACUGGAUGUCUCGAGUGAGGUAGGGCAUGCGGAACUGAUGGUGGAGCGGUGAAAUGUGUUGAUAUCAUCAGGAACUCCGGUGGCGAAAGCGGCGUGCUGGACCUCUACUGACGCUGAUGCGCGAAAGCCAGGGGAGCGAACGGG